rnacentral:rRNA from 1 species
AAUCAACGCUGGCGGCGUGCCUAACACAUGCAAGUCGCACGAGAAAGGGUCUUCGGAUCUGAGUAAAGUGGCGCACGGGUGAGUAACACGUGAAUUAUCUACCUUCGAGUGGGGAAUAACUUCGGGAAACCGAGGCUAAUACCGCAUAAUAUCUACGGAUAAAAGCAGUAAUGCGCUUGAAGAGGAGUUCGCGGCAGAUUAGUUAGGUGGCGGGGUAAUGGCCCACCAAGACGAUGAUCUGUAUCCGGCCUGAGAGGGCGCACGGACACACUGGAACUGAAACACGGUCCAGACUCCUACGGGAGGCAGCAGUGGGGAAUUUUGCGCAAUGGGGGAAACCCUGACGCAGCAACGCCGCGUGGAGGUUGAAGUCUCUUGGGACGUAAACUCCUUUCGAUAGGGAAGAUUAUGACGGUACCUAUAGAAGAAGCCCCGGCUAACUUCGUGCCAGCCGCCGCGGUAA